rnacentral:rRNA from 1 species
GACGAACGCUGGCGGCGUGCUUAACACAUGCAAGUCGAACGAAGAGCGAUGGAAGCUUGCUUCUAUCACUCUUAGUGGCGAACGGGUGAGUAACGCGUAAUCAACCUGCCCUUCAGAGGGGGACAACAGUUGGAAACGACUGCUAAUACCGCAUACGAUCUAAUCUCGGCAUCGAGGAUAGAUGAAAGGUGGCCUCUACAUGUAAGCUAUCACUGAAGGAGGGGAUUGCGUCUGAUUAGCUAGUUGGAGGGGUAACGGCCCACCAAGGCGAUGAUCAGUAGCCGGUCUGAGAGGAUGAACGGCCACAUUGGGACUGAGACACGGCCCAGACUCCUACGGGAGGCAGCAGUGGGGAAUCUUCCGCAAUGGACGAAAGUCUGACGGAGCAACGCCGCGGGAGGGAUGACGGCCUUCGGGUUGUAAAGCUCUGUUAAUCGGGACGAAAGGCCUUCUUGCGAACAGUUAGAAGGAUUGACGGUACCGGAAUAGAAAGCCACGGCUAACUACGUG